rnacentral:rRNA from 1 species
UACGUAGGGUGCAAGCGUUGUUCGGAAUUAUUGGGCGUAAAGGGUGCGUAGGCGGUUUGGUAAGUCUGAUGUGAAAUCUAUGGGCUCAACUCAUAGUCUGCAUCGGAAACUGCCGGGCUUGAGUGUGGGAGAGGUGAGUGGAAUUCCUGGUGUAGCGGUGAAAUGCGUAGAUAUCAGGAGGAACACCUGUGGCGAAAGCGGCUCACUGGACCAUAACUGACGCUGAUGCACGAAAAGCUAGGGGAGCAAACAGG